AACGAACGCUGGCGGCAGGCCUAACACAUGCAAGUCGAGCGCGCCUUCGGGUGAGCGGCGGACGGAUGAGUAACGCGUGGGAAUAUGCCCUUCUCUACGGAAUAGUCCUGGGAAACUGGGGGUAAUACCGUAUACGCCCUUUGGGGGAAAGAUUUAUCGGGGAAGGAUUAGCCCGCGUUGGAUUAGGUAGUUGGUGGGGUAAUGGCCUACCAAGCCGACGAUCCAUAGCUGGUUUGAGAGGAUGAUCAGCCACACUGGGACUGAGACACGGCCCAGACUCCUACGGGAGGCAGCAGUGGGGAAUCUUAGACAAUGGGGGCAACCCUGAUCUAGCCAUGCCGCGUGAGUGAUGAAGGCCUUAGGGUUGUAAAGCUCUUUCAGCUGGGAAGAUAAUGACGGUACCAGCAGAAGAAGCCCCGGCUAACUCCGUG
rnacentral:rRNA from 1 species